UGGGGAAUAUUGGACAAUGGGCGAAAGCCUGAUCCAGCCAUGCCGCGUGUGUGAAGAAGGUCUUCGGAUUGUAAAGCACUUUAAGUUGGGAGGAAGGGCAGUAAGCGAAUACCUUGCUGUUUUGACGUUACCGACAGAAUAAGCACCGGCUAACUCUGUGCCAGCAGCCGCGGUAAUACAGAGGGUGCAAGCGUUAAUCGGAAUUACUGGGCGUAAAGCGCGCGUAGGUGGUUCGUUAAGUUGAAUGUGAAAGCCCCGGGCUCAACCUGGGAACUGCGUCCAAAACUGGCGAGCUAGAGUAGGGCAGAGGGUGGUGGAAUUUCCUGUGUAGCGGUGAAAUGCGUAGAUAUAGGAAGGAACACCAGUGGCGAAGGCGACCACCUGGGCUCAUACUGACACUGAGGUGCGAAAGCGUGGGGAGCAAACAGG
rnacentral:rRNA from 1 species